AUCCGUACUAUGGCCGGACAAGACCCACCUAUAGCACCCGCUCCUCCACCCGACCUUGGAGUUAUUCUGACCCAAAUCCAAGCUCAAAUGAGACGGAUUGAUGAUCGGCUUUAUCUCUUGGAGCAAGCUAUACCACCACCCGUGCCCCUUGUACGACGGGUCCGAGACCAAAGACUACCACCAGUCGACGACCAAGAACAAGAUCAAGGUCAAGUUGAGGGACACACGUCGGAUGAAGAAGACCCCGACUAUCCAAGACGAAGAAACAACCGACGGGACAACGAACGACCAAUGGGUCCUAAUCUCACCGGACCCUCCUGCAAGCUUACCGUCCCAACCUUUGCGGGAAAGGUUGACCCGGAGGCCUACCUACAAUGGGAAGGCCGAAUGGACAAGGUUUUCUCUUGUUACAACUACCCGGAGAUACGAAAGGUCAUUAUAGCCGCUGCUCAAUUCACGGACCAUGCCCUUACUUGGUGGGACCGCGACGUCGACGACCGACGACGUAAUCACGAGAGACCCGUGGCCACUUGGGACGCAAUGAAGGCCAUCAUGAGACGCCGAUACAUUCCCCAAUACUUUAGCCGUGACCUACAACGGCGAUUUAGGAAGCUCACUCAAGGAAUAAAAAGCGUUGAGGAAUAUUAUGAGGACUUUGAGCACUUGAGGAACCGUUUACAACUAGAAGAGACCGAAGAGGCUUUGAUGGCCCAAUUCUUAGACGGAUUGAAUGACCGGAUCACAAGGAAGGUUGAACGCCAAUCUUACCAAGGGUUUGAGGAGAUGUUGCACCUAGCCAUCCAAGUAGAACAACAAAUCAAGAAGAAAAUUGCAAGCACCAUCCGGACCAAGGGACAAGAACUUCCAAGUUGGUCGCCUAACGCCUCACCGUCUCAUGGGAACAACCGAGUAGCCGACAAGACCAACCGGGGUACCACCGAACCCAAAGCCGCCCGUAUCGACACAAGAUUCAAGCCCCGAGAGACCACCAAAGACAACCGUCCCGACCCAAGACCUCAACCCUCCGACUCAAGGACCCGAGACAUCAUUUGCUUCAAGUGUCAAGGCCGAGGUCAUUAUGCCCGAGACUGCCCCAACCAACGCACCAUGAUCAUCACCACCGCCGGAGACUAUGAAUCCCAAGACGAAGACGACGCCCCACAAGGCCAAGGCAUUGACUCCGAGAUCGAGGAAGCCAUUGCCGAACCGGAAGUUGGAGAACUUCUCAUGAUCCGCCGUAUGCUAAGCACAAGCCAAGCCAUGGACGACUCCAACCAACGCGACAACAUCUUCCACACCCGGUGCAUGGUAAGUGGGAAGGUUUGUGGCUUGAUCAUAGAUGGGGGCUCUUGCACCAAUGUUGCGAGUUCUUAUAUGGUCAAGAAACUUUCUUUGGCUACCACAAGCCAUCCCAAACCUUAUAAGCUUAAAUGGUUGAACAACAAAUCCGUAAUCCAAGUCUCGGAACAAGUGUUAGUUUCUUUUAGUGUUGGCCCCUACCAAGACCAGGUCUUAUGCGAUGUUGUCCCAAUGCAAGCUAGCCACCUAUUGUUGGGUCGGCCUUGGCAAUUUGAUAAGAAGACAUCGCAUUGUGGCCUUACCAAUGAGUAUACUUUUAUCCAUAAUAGUAAACGGAUUUGCUUAAAGCCUUUGUCACCCACCCAAGUCAAUGAAAUGCAAUCGAAAAUGUCUAGUGAACCUAGCUCUAAGUCGAAUUUCUUGGUUAAUUCUAGUGAUGUUAGGAGAUCACUAUGUGACUCCUCUUGCCAAGUGUUACUAAUGGUCUUUAAAGAUGUUUUGACUAUAGAUUGUGAAGGCAAGGACAUUCCGGAGGAGAUUAAGGCCAUCAUCAAGCGUUUUCAAGAUGUGUUUCCGGAAGAACUACCGCAUGGCUUGCCACCUAUCCGAGGGAUUGAACAUCAAAUAGAUCUUAUUCCGGGAGCUCAAUUGCCAAAUAGACCCGCCUAUAGAGUCAACCCAACCGAAGCUAAAGAACUAGAGAAGCAAGUGGGAGACCUCAUGAAGCAAGGAUAUGUCCGAGAGAGCCUUAGCCCUUGUGCCGUACCAGUUCUCCUAGUACCUAAGAAAGAAGAUCCGGAGUUUGGGGAGAGUUAUAGGGAUCACGGCAAAGGAAUUCACUCACGGUUCUACAUCCAAGACGGGUUUCUCUUUCGGGACAAAAGGCUUUGCAUACCCGCCAGAUCUAUUAGGACCCUACUAAUGCAAGAGUCACAUGGAGGAGGCCUAACCGGGCAUUUUGGGGUUACUAAGACUUUGGAAGUCUUAAAGGAACAUUUCUAUUGGCCUAAGAAGAAGUUUGGCCUCUCCAACGCCCCAUCCACCUUUAUGCGGUUAAUGAAUCACAUCCUUAGACCUUUCAUUAAUAAGUUUGUUGUGGUCUAUUUUGAUGAUAUUUUAAUCUAUAGCCGUAGCCUAGAGGAUCACUUGGUCCAUCUAGAGAUGGUGUUGGUCACACUUCGAGAAGAAAAGCUAUACGCUAACUUCAAGAAGUGUGUCUUUGGUACUAAUGAACUAGUUUUUCUAGGUUUUGUUGUGAGUGAGCAGGGCCUUAGAGUGGAUCAAGAGAAAAUUCGAGCAAUAGAGGAAUGGCCUACACCGACAACCGUUAGUCAAGUGAGAAGCUUUCAUGGUUUAGCAAGUUUCUACCGGCGUUUUGUCAAGGACUUUAGCACUGUAGCCGCACCUCUUACUGCCAUCACUAAGAAGAGUGAAGAAUUCACUUGGGGAUCGAGUCAAGAAGCGUCAUUUCAAGAGCUAAAGAGGAGAUUAACACAAGCGCCUCUCCUAGUUCUACCAAGUUUUGAGAAGACCUUUGAAGUAGAGUGUGAUGCGUCCGGCAUCGGGAUUGGAGCGGUCCUAACCCAAUGAGGCAAACCCGUGGCCUACUUUAGUGAGAAGUUACAUGGCCCUGUCCUCAACUAUCCGACUUAUGAUAAGGAGUGAUGUUUUGACUAUAGAUUGUGAAGGCAAGGACAUUCCGGAGGAGAUUAAGGCCAUCAUCAAGCGUUUUCAAGAUGUGUUUCCGGAAGAACUACCGCAUGGCUUGCCACCUAUCCGAGGGAUUGAACAUCAAAUAGAUCUUAUUCCGGGAGCUCAAUUGCCAAAUAGACCCGCCUAUAGAGUCAACCCAACCGAAGCUAAAGAACUAGAGAAGCAAGUGGGAGACCUCAUGAAGCAAGGAUAUGUCCGAGAGAGCCUUAGCCCUUGUGCCGUACCAGUUCUCCUAGUACCUAAGAAAGA
rnacentral:lncRNA from 1 species